rnacentral:SRP_RNA from 2 species
UGCCAGGCCCUGCGCAACGUGGAGGUUGUAAACCCCGUCAGGUUCGGAAGAAAGCAGCGGUAGCAGCUAUCCUGUGUGCCGCAGCAAGCCUGGCUUUU